AAGAGCUUAAACGUCUUAAAACUGUCUAACUAACAUAACCCUCUCUUUUUCGUGCAAAGUCCAUUUUAACCACCUGACCUAGUUUUUGUGUAUCCCAGUGUGUAGAGCAGCGACAUCUAUCGGCGUGAGGAUGCUGGUGCAGUUUGAUACACAUUUCGAUACACACGGUGACAAUUUCGCGCCCUUCCUUGUGAUUGGCUGUUUUUUCCCGCGUGGGAGUGACGUCGGGGGGGGGCGUGCCAACGUCAAGGACCAGGUGCGUGGACCUUUAAACAGACAGGCAGAGAGCAUGCACCGAUGAAGGAUGAAGGAUUAAACACCACCAGCAAGAGAAUAUGCACCGACGAAGACGCCUAAAUCCAAAGGCUGAUGCCAACUUUUACAUUGAUACUGGAGGGGACAAAGUGGGACUUGACAUCAAAUACAUCAAUGCCUUCAAAGGUCGUGGCAUCUUCACCUCUGCUCUAUUUGAAAAGGGAGACUUUCUGUUGGAAUAUAGAGGUGAAUUAAUAAGCCAGCAAGAAUGUGAACGGAGACACAGACUUCAUCACGACUGCCUGAAGGUGUUCAUGUUCGAGUUCUAUUUUAAUGGAAAACUAUGGUGUUUUGAUGCAGCAAAAGAGGAUGGGUCACUUGGAAGACUUGUGAACGAUAAUAAUGUCAACCCCAAUGCCAAGAUGAAGUACCUAAACAUACAAGGGAAGCCCCAUCUGUGUUUGUUUGCAACACGAGACAUCAGUCAAGGAGAGGAGGUCACCUAUAAUUAUGGUGACUCGGAUUGGCCGUGGAGAUGCAAGCUUCAGAAAUCUGAAGGAAAGUCUUCGGACGGGGAGCACGGUGAGGGUCCAUCUACAUCCGAGCCUUCUCAGAGUACUCAAAAGGUGUCAACAAGUAAGAGGCAAGAAAAGAGAUCUCCAGGUGCAUCAACUAGUCUGCUCAAAAGAUAUGAAAAGAUGAUAACAGUGAGCUGAUUGAGUCUGCUCUGAGGGACGAAACUGACCAGCUUGAGACCUCUGUGGAUGGCCUGAAUCCAACAUUCACACAACUUGGUCUCCUCAACUGGGUUGAAGAGAUGAUAACAGUGAGCUGAUUGAGUCUGCUCUGAGGGACGAAACUGACCAGCUUGAGACCUCUGUGGAUGGCCUGAAUCCAACAUUCACACAACUUGGUCUCCUCAACUGGGUUGAAGAGAUGAUAACAGUGAGCUGAUUGAGUCUGCUCAGAGGGACGAAACUGACCAGCUUGAGACCUCUGUGGAUGGCCUGAAUCCAACAUUCACACAACUUGGUCUCCUCAACAGGGUUGAAGAGUGUCAAGCAUCACCUGGUGUGCACAACAAUAUCCUCCUUGGACAAGUAUGUUCAAUGUUUGGGACCUGUAUCCUCCUUCAAGUGGCGUGGCUAUGAAUGCAGAGAUAAGAUAUUUCGUGGAUUGGUACAAAGUGCGUCUUGGGGUAUUAGUUUGUUCUGGCAUCAAUCCUCAGAAGAGUUACAAAUGAUAACCAACACCCAUCACAGUUUCUGGAGUGCAUGUCCGAUGAGGAAUGCACACCGGACUCGGAAACACAAGAUGACGACGAUGAUGAUUAUGAUGAUGAUGAUUCCGAUGCAAGCAUCCCCAUCACGCCUCAUCAGUUGAAACCAGGACGGAUUCAAGUGAAACCAGUACUACCUGACGCUGGAGCAUCUCAUGGGUCAGACACAAGCAUCCCAGUCGUCAAAAGAUUGCCCAACUCUUCAAAUCACUUCCAAUGCUGCUGAAACCUCGAGUUACCAACGACUCAACACAGGAAAAUUGUGAAGUUGAACUUAACAGACAACAAGUAACCACAAACGAUUACUGUUAUGUUUAUGGUAAACCACAAAGCAACACUAUCUGUCUCUCACUGUCUUUAUGUCUCUCUAUCGAUCUCUCUCUGUCUCUCUCUCCUCACUGUCUAUGUCUCUCCAUAUCUCUCUCUUUGUCCCUUCACUGUUUAUGUCUCUGUGUCUGUCUUUAUAUCUCUGUCUCCUUAUUGUCUAUGUCCCUCUGUGUCUGUCUCUAUGUCCCUCUGUCUCCUCAUUAUCUAUGUCUUUCUGUGUCUUUCUCUCCUGACUGUCUACGUCUCGAUGUGUCUGUCUCUUGUCUUUAUAUCUGUCUCUUUAUUGUCUACGUCCCUCUGUGUCUGUCUUUAUGUCUCCCUCUGUCUCCUCAUUGUCUAUGUCUGUCUCUAUGUAUCUCUCUCUCUGUCUCCUCCAUGGAUAUGUCUCUCUGUCUGUCUGAUGUCUCUCUCUGUAUCCUUACUUUCUAUGCGUGUCUGUCUGUGUCUUUAUGUCUCUCUCUGUCUCCAAAUUGUUUAUGUCCCUCUGUGUCUGUCUUUAUGUCUCUCUCUCUGUCUCCUCACUGUCUAUGUCUCUCUAUCUUUAUGUAUGUCUCUCUCUGUCUCCUCACUGUCUCUGUCUCUCUGUCUUUAUGUAUGUCUCUCU